rnacentral:rRNA from 1 species
UGGGUNCCCAUGACAGAUCGGCUCAGGCUAACUAUGCACCGAAGCUGCGGAUUCAUCUUAGGAUGAGUGGUAGGGGAGCGUUCUGUAAGCCGUUGAAGGUGUGCCGGGAGGCAUGCUGGAGGUAUCAGAAGUGCGAAUGCUGACAUGAGUAACGAUAAUGGGAGUGAAAAACUCCCACGCCGGAAGACCAAGGGUUCCUAUCCCAUGUUAAUCAGGGUAGGGUAAGUCGACCCCUAAGGCGAGGCCGAAAGGCGUAGUCGAUGGGAAACAGAUUAAUAUUUCUGUACUCGAUAUAAUUGCGAUGGGGGGACGGAGCAGGCUAAGCAAGCAUGGCGUUGGUAGUCCAUGUGAAAGUGAGUAGGGCGUUUGUUUAGGUAAAUCCGGACGAACACUAAACCUGAGACACGAGACGAGUCACCACGGUGAUGAAGUUGCUGAUGCCAUACUUCCAGGAAAAGCCUCUAAGCUUCAGAUUAUAUGGAAUCGUACCCCAAACCGACACAGGUGGUCAGGUAGAGAAUACUAAGGCGCUUGAGAGAACUCGGGUGAAGGAACUAGGCAAAAUCGUACCGUAACUUCGGGAGAAGGUACGCUCCUAUCUGUGAUGAGACUUGCUCUCUAAGCGGACGGGAGCCGCAGUGACCAGGUGGCUGGGACUGUUUAUUAAAAACACAGCACUGUGCAAAAUCGCAAGAUGACGUAUACGGUGUGACACCUGCCCGGUGCCGGAAGGUUAAUUGAUGGGGUUAUCCUUAGGGAGAAGCUCUUGAUCGAAGCCCGGUAAACGGCGGCCGUAACUAUAACGGUCCUAAGGUAGCGAAAAUCCUUGUCGGGUAAGUUCGACCUGCACGAAUGGUGUAACCAUGGCCACGCUGUCUCCACCCGAGACUCAGUGAAAAUGAAAUCGCAGUGAAGAUGCUGUGUACCCGCGGCUAGACGGAAAGACCCCGUGAAACUUUACUACAGCUGGGCACUGGACAAUGAACCUACAUGUGUAGGAUAGGUGGAAGACUUUGAGAAUAAAACCUUGUUUUGUUGGAAUCAACCCUGAAAUACCACCCUUGAAAUUUUGAAGGUUCUAACGUUGGCCCCUGAAUCGNGGUUACCGAAAAGGCCCUGGGGGGAAAUUUAACUGGGCGCGCCCUCCUCCUAAAAAAAACGAAAGACCCCAAAGGUUGGCUAAAACGGCCGGAAAUCUUACGGGUUGGGUAUAGGUAAAAACCCUUUAAUGUGGAAAAAACA